rnacentral:rRNA from 1 species
GACGAACGCUGGCGGCGUGCCUAAUACAUGCCAGUAGAACGCACAGUUUAUACCGUAGCUUGCUACACCAUACACUGUGGGUUGCGAACGGGUGAGUAACGCGUAGGUAACCUGCCUGGUAGCGGGGGAUAACUAUUGGAAACGAUAGCUAAUACCGCAUAAUAUUGAUUAUUGCAUGAUAAUUGAUUGAAAGAUGCUAUUGCAUCACUACCAGAUGGACCUGCGUUGUAUUAGCUAGUAGGUGAGGUAACGGCUCACCUAGGCGACGAUACAUAGCCGACCUGAGAGGGUGAUCGGCCACACUGGGACUGAGACACGGCCCAGACUCCUACGGGAGGCAGCAGUAGGGAAUCUUCGGCAAUGGACGAAAGUCUGACCGAGCAACGCCGCGUGAGUGAAGAAGGUUUUCGGAUCGUAAAGCUCUGUUGUAAGAGAAGAACGGGUGUGAGAGUGGAAAGUUCACACUGUGACGGUAUCUUACCAGAAAGGGACGGCUAACUACGUG